GUGUGUGUGUGUGUGUGUGUGUGUGUGUGUGUGUAAAUAAUAUAGUAUUUCGUAGUUCAGAGCUUAUUUGUUAAAUUUAAUAGCGUGAUGGCUGUCAGGAAGAAGCUGUUCCUCAAUGUAGAUGUUACCGUUUUCAGUUUACAAAAGUCGGACGUGACUCCGGAAGUCAGGCAUCAGUCGGUCCACAAGCCGUGAGAGUCAGUCAGUCUAAAGGACAUGAGUUAAUCCCAAGGCGGAAAUAGUCAUCAGGAGGCAGUGAGCAGCAGAACACAACAAGACGCAACAAGACACAACAAGUAAAAACUUAAUAAAUCUCAUCUUUAAAAUUUAAAUUGUUCUCAUAUUUUAAGAGUCAUUCACAUUUUAAAGUUUAAUAAAACCUUUUUGCACUUUUAA